UAGGGAAUCUUCGGCAAUGGGGGCAACCCUGACCGAGCAACGCCGCGUGAGUGAAGAAGGUUUUCGGAUCGUAAAGCUCUGUUGUAAGAGAAGAACGUGUGUGAGAGUGGAAAGUUCACACAGUGACGGUAACUUACCAGAAAGGGACGGCUAACUACGUGCCAGCAGCCGCGGUAAUACGUAGGUCCCGAGCGUUGUCCGGAUUUAUUGGGCGUAAAGCGAGCGCAGGCGGUUUAAUAAGUCUGAAGUUAAAGGCAGUGGCUUAACCAUUGUUCGCUUUGGAAACUGUUAGACUUGAGUGCAGAAGGGGAGAGUGGAAUUCCAUGUGUAGCGGUGAAAUGCGUAGAUAUAUGGAGGAACACCGGUGGCGAAAGCGGCUCUCUGGUCUGUAACUGACGCUGAGGCUCGAAAGCGUGGGGAGCAAACAGGAUUAGAUACCCUGGUAGUCCACGCCGUAAACGAUGAGUGCUAGGUGUUAGGCCCUUUCCGGGGCUUAGUGCCGCAGCUAACGCAUUAAGCACUCCGCCUGGGGAGUACGA
rnacentral:rRNA from 1 species